rnacentral:rRNA from 1 species
AGGAUGAACGCUGGCGGUCUGCUUAACACAUGCAAGUCGAACGGAGUACCUCGGUACUUAGUGGCGGACGGGUGAGUAACGCGUGAGAAUCUGCCCUUAGGUCGGGGACAACCAUUGGAAACGAUGGCUAAUACCGGAUAAGCCGAGAGGUAAAAGAUUAAUUGCCUAGGGAAGAGCUCGCGUCUGAUUAGCUAGUUGGUGAGGUAAAGGCUCACCAAGGCAUCGAUCAGUAGCUGGUCUGAGAGGAUGAUCAGCCACACUGGGACUGAGACACGGCCCAGACUCCUACGGGAGGCAGCAGUGGGGAAUUUUCCGCAAUGGGCGAAAGCCUGACGGAGCAAGACCGCGUGAGGGAGGAAGGCUCUUGGGUUGUAAAACCUUCUUUUCGUUGGGGAAGAACGAAAAUGACGGUACCCAAGGAAUCAGCAUCGGCUAACUCCGUGCCAGCAGCCGC